rnacentral:rRNA from 1 species
UACGGAAGGUCCGGGCGUUAUCCGGAUUUAUUGGGUUUAAAGGGAGCGCAGGCCGAUUGGUAAGCGUGACGUGAAAUGUAGCCGCUCAACGGCUGAGUUGCGUCGCGAACUGCCGAUCUUGAGUGAGUUCGAUGUAGGCGGAAUUCGUGGUGUAGCGGUGAAAUGCUUAGAUAUCACGAAGAACCCCGAUUGCGAAGGCAGCCUACAAGGCCUUUACUGACGCUAAAGCUCGAAGGUGCGGGUAU